GGGCCAGCAACGCAAUUGAAGACAAGGAGAUGGCGUGCGGUGAGCCCACUGAGAAGCGGAGCAGAAAGAGGAGGAUCUAAGAGAUCAGAGAGGGGGAUGGAGGUUUUUUCUGGCUUUGUUUAUCUUCAUGAGUCCUGUUGCCUUCUUGAUUCACUGUGCCGUAGUGCUGCAGAACUCAGUGAAUCCACCAGCAGCAGACUGAAUUACAGUCUCAAGUAUCUGUGAUGACCCUCAUCCCGAUCCACAAUGACACACUAAAGAGCCGACAACUUGCCUCAUUUAAAAGGGGGGAAAAAACAUCAAACGGUUUGUAACAACAUAAGGAUGUUGUACUCGCAGUGGCAUGUCAAAGAAUCCACACAGAAUUCCAGCGUCUCUCUGUCCUUGUCCAAGCGUUUCAAACUUUCCACUUUCAUCUCACUUUCAGGCUGUUGAGAUAGCCACUGGGACAUCCUAAAAAAAUCAGAAAACACCUCCAAAGACUCUCUUUCACACUUUCACUCACUUUACUCCCACAGCUGUCACAGCAUUGCCAGAUCCCUCAAACCACCACAAGCCCGGCCUCUUGAGACACAUUCCUCACUUCACCUGAGCAAACUGUGUUCACCUCAGAGAGAAUUUUUGAUGCUGCCAUUAAACACCCUGGGUACCUAAUGCCCUGUGGAGAAAAUCCUGUGGAGCAGUUUUAUUUAUUAAUAUAUCUGUUGGCUAAAAUGGAGACAAGGCCUGUUAUAACCACAGACAAUAACUACAGUUUUACUAAAGAAAUAAUGCUGUUUUUGUAAAAGUAUCCGCACCUCAAUCAUAAUGAUAAUAGCAGAGAAGAUCAAUAUUAUUAGCAAUCAUAUUUAGAAUGAUUUUUUUUUUGUUUUGUUUUUAGAGACAUGACAGCCAAUGAGAUGACAAGUGUUGCCAUGUCUGCGGUUUUCUCUGUGGAAUUGGGCUACUUCAACGCUGUUACCGCUUGUUGAUUUUUAUGUCCUUGGGUGAAGGCAACCAAAGUAAUGUGAUAUUUUCACCCCUGGAAUGCAUUUUAAAAGAAAUUAUCCAUUUUUGUGCAUAUCCAGGGUGUUUUAAUUUUUUGAAACCUAAAAGAUUUUUUUUGCUAGGAAAAAACGUGACCUUUCCAACUUGAUUGCGUAUUGUGUAAAGUCGCAGACUUGCUUUACAGAAGUAGAUGAGCAUUUGUGGUCAAAAAUUGUGUACAUUUUUAUUUCUCACUAGAUAAGACCCUUAUUCCUCGGCUCCCAUUGAAGUCCACUAUAGGGAGAAAAAUCCUGCAG